rnacentral:rRNA from 1 species
GAUGAACGCUGACGGCGUGCCUAAUACAUGCAAGUCGAGCGAACGGACGAGAAGCUUGCUUCUCUGAUGUUAGCGGCGGACGGGUGAGUAACACGUGGAUAACCUACCUAUAAGACUGGGAUAACUUCGGGAAACCGGAGCUAAUACCGGAUAAUAUUUUGAACCGCAUGGUUCAAAAGUGAAAGACGGUCUUGCUGUCACUUAUAGAUGGAUCCGCGCUGCAUUAGCUAGUUGGUAAGGUAACGGCUUACCAAGGCAACGAUGCAUAGCCGACCUGAGAGGGUGAUCGGCCACACUGGAACUGAGACACGGUCCAGACUCCUACGGGAGGCAGCAGUAGGGAAUCUUCCGCAAUGGGCGAAAGCCUGACGGAGCAACGCCGCGUGAGUGAUGAAGGUCUUCGGAUCGUAAAACUCUGUUAUUAGGGAAGAACAUAUGUGUAAGUAACUGUGCACAUCUUGACGGUACCUAAUCAGGAAGCCACGGCUAACUACGUG